CAGCAGGCGCGCAAAUUACCCAAUCCCAAUACGGGGAGGUNGUGACAAUAAAUAACAAUAUGGGGCUCUUACGGGUCUCGUAAUUGGAAUGAGUACAAUUUAAAUCUCUUAGCGAGGAACAAUUGGAGGGCAAGUCUGGUGCCAGCAGCCGCGGUAAUUCCAGCUCCAAUAGCGUAUAUUAAAGUUGUUGCAGUUAAAAAGCUCGUGGUUGAAUUUCGGAGUUUGUCGGUUGGUCGGGCUUCACUGUCCGCACUGGCCUGAUGGAUUCCUACCUUCUGAAUAACCAGCAUGCUAUUAAGUUAGUGCGUUGGGGAAGCAGAGCUAUUACCUUGAAAAAAUUAGAGUGCUUAAAGCAGGCUUUUGCUUGAAUAGAUUAGCAUGGAAUAAUAAAAUAGGACGGCAUGGUUCUAUUUUGUUGGUUUCUAGGAUCACCGUAAUGAUUAAUAGGGAUAGUUGGGGGCAUUAGUAUUCAAUUGUCAGAGGUGAAAUUCUUGGAUUUAUUGAAGACUAACUUCUGCGAAAGCAUUUGCCAAGGAUGUUUUCAUUAAUCAAGAACGAAAGUUAGGGGAUCGAAGACGAUCAGAUACCGUCGUAGUCUUAACCAUAAACUAUGCCGACUAGGGAUCGGACGAUGUUAAUUUUU
rnacentral:rRNA from 1 species